AACGAACGCUGGCGGCAUGCCUAACACAUGCAAGUCGAACGAGACCAUAGGGUCUAGUGGCGCACGGGGGCGUAACGUGUGGGAACCUGCACUUAGAUUCGGAAUAACUCUCUGAAAGGGGUGCUAAUACAGGGAAAUGUAUUCGGACAAAACAUAUAUCGCCCUUGGAUGAGCACGCGUUGGUUUAGCUGGUUGGUAGGGUAAAAGCCUAUCACGGCGUCGCUACAUAGCUGGGCUGAGAGGAUGAUAAGCCACUCUGAGACGAGGACACGGGGCGGACUCCUGCGCGAGGCAGCAGUGCGUGAUAUUGCCAUAUGGGGUAAAGCCUGAUCCAGCAAUGCCUCUAGAGUGAUUAAGUUGUUAGGGUUGUAAAGCACGUUUACCCGGGAUUAUAAUGACGGUACCGGAAGAAUAAGCACCGGCUAACUCCGUG
rnacentral:rRNA from 1 species